rnacentral:lncRNA from 1 species
GUUUUUUCUUGUUAACUUGUUCUUUUCAGGCUCAAAUGAAUUAGGGGGCUUGCUAGCUUCCUUCUUCAGCUCAGCUGUUCAUGGCCUGCAUGCAUGUUGGCAUUUUGAAGCAUACUGUAUCACUUCCUCUCCUGAUCAAAAUAAGGAUUGCUUUCUCUUCUCUCCUUCCAGUGGAGUUUGUGUUCCUCUCUUGGCUGAACUGGUGGCUGAGGAUUAGCAAGAUGUUCCAGAUCUUGUUCUCCAGUGUUUAUGGUCUCUAGAUAUGAAAAGCUGCUCUAACCUGAGGCAACAACCAGUAAUCCUUCAAGAAUUCUCCCUGUCAGGUAUCUUUCUACAUCCUGUAUGGAUGCUGAAGUUCCCACCACCCCUAACUCUCAUCUUCAUGUUACCUCUUUCAAUUAAUUAUUCUAGCAUUCUCCCCAAAAGAUACUUCUCUUGAACCAUUUAUUUCUGUCCUGCCCACCCACCUGCUUAUGUUAGCUACCUUUUCCUUAGUUUCUAUGCACUCUUGUAUAGAAGAUGCUCACAAUAACCAGGAGUACUUUGGCUCACAGGGAGUAAUAAUUAAAAUCAAUUUACCAUUUCUUUAUAUUCAGUCUUAAGAUAGGAUCAAAGCAUAAUUGUUUGUUUUCUCUGCAGAGUAUCUCAAUGUAAGCAACAAAACUAUAGAGAAACUUAACACUACCUUCAUUAGCUAAUUGCUAUUGUGUAUUUAUCCUGGCUCUUUCUUGUCUUCUAAAGCUAAGCUUCAUUCCUUUGCCACUUUCUAGCUGGCUGUGCUGUGGCACUUGAGGCCAGCAGUAGGAAUCUUCUGGAGCACAGCCCUCUGUUAUGAACCAGCAUGGGAAUGCAUUGUAUUCCCAGCCUUAGGG